rnacentral:rRNA from 1 species
GGAUCAUCAGGUUGGUCGUGCCUCUGGUAUGUACUUUCCUCGAUGGUUCCUCCUUCUUGAAGAUCCGUAAUGUCAUUAAUUUGGUGUUGCGGGGAAUCAGGACUGUUACUUUGAAAAAAUUAGAGUGUUUAAAGCAGGCAAUCGCUUGAAUACAUUAGCAUGGAAUAAUGAAAUAGGACGUUCGAUCCUAUUUUGCUGGUUUCUAGGAUUGACGUA